rnacentral:tRNA from 1 species
CGAUCUUCUGGGCGAAGGCCUCGAACGCGGCCGCCUGUUCGGCGGCCUUGCUGUCACCGAUCAUGUCGGUGAGACUGG